UCGUUUCUCAACUGGCGUCGCGAAUUUUUCUUGAAAAUAAAUAAGGCGGAUGAAAAGUUAUUUACAAUACUAGAAAUUGUGUUAAUUUUGCAAAGAAAAAAGUGAAAUUUACAUUAAUAUUUAAUACGAUUUAAAAUUCACUAAUUAAAUGGGUGUUACCAAACACCCAUAUUUAUAAUUUCAUUAAUAAAAUGCUGUUUAUAAUUCUUAAUUUGCUGCUCAAGUAAAGAAGAAGAGAGUGAGAGCGUAAAGAAAGAGGGUGGAAAUAAUUGCAGGAAAAUUUAACAAAGUUGGAUAUAUUUCAACAAAAUUUACAGAAGAAAUCAGUUUACAAAUCAAAUUUGGUCAAUUAAAAAUUCAUUAAAAUUUAAAAUAAAAAUUACCGAAAAAUAGAAGAAAAUAAAGUGAAAAUGUUUAGCUGAACAGAAAUGAAGUUAUCGGUAGCCUUGCUAAGAUAUAUACAAGUUUUUUGUAGAAGAAAAAAAGUGUCUGCUGCUGUUUGAUUCUUGUACUUUAUGUAUUAUUCAGGCGGGCGGCGGCUGCAUUGAAAAACGAUUUUAAUUCGUUACAACAGCUCAAAUAAGGAAAUAUAUAAAAAGUAAAGAAGCUGUCUGUUAUAGCUUCGUUAGCUGAAAGAGUUAACCAAGUUUCUUUUACAUCUUCUUAACCAACAAAAAAAAAAAAAAUACGAAAAAUCCUGUUUUUUAACCUUAAAAAAUUAAA